rnacentral:rRNA from 1 species
GAUGGCGACCGGCGCACGGGUGAGUAACACGUAUCCAACCUACCGGUAUUCCGGGAUAGCCUUUCGAAAGAAAGAUUAAUACCGGAUAGCAUAGCGAGAAGGCAUCUCUUGUAUUAAGAAUUUCGAUGACCGAUGGGGAUGCGUUCCAUUAGUUUGUUGGCGGGGUAACGGCCCACCAGACAUCGAUGGAUAGGGGUUCUGAGAGGAAGGUCCCCCCACAUUGGAACUGAGACACGGUCCAAACUCCUACGGGAGGCAGCAGUGAGGAAUAUUGGUCAAUGGACGAGAGUCUGAACCAGCCAAGUAGCCGUGAAGGAUGACUGCCCUAUGGGUUGUAAACUUCUUUUAUAUGGGAAUAAAGUGAGCCACGUGUGGCUUUUUGUAUGUACCAUACGAAUAAGGAUCGGCUAACUCCGUGCCAGCCGCCGC